rnacentral:rRNA from 1 species
GUACACACCGCCCGUCACGUCAUGGGAGUGAAUUGCACCAGAAGUAGCUAGUUUAACCUUCGGGAGAACGGUUACCACGGUGUGGUUCAUGACUGGGACGAAGUCGUAACAAGGUAGCCGUAGGUGAACCUGCAGAAGGAUCA